rnacentral:rRNA from 1 species
GUAAAGAGCUCGUAGGCGGUCAGUCACGUCGGGAGUGAUAACUUGGGGCUUAACCCCAAGCGUGCUUUCAAUACGGGCGGACUAGAGGUAGGUAGGGGAGAACGGAAUUCCUGGUGUAGCGGUGGAAUGCGCAGAUAUCAGGAGGAACACCGGUGGCGAAGGCGGUUCUCUGGGCCUUACCCUGACGCUGAGGAGCGAAAGUGUGGGGAGCGAACAGCAUUAGAUACCCUGGUAGUCCACACCGUAAACGUUGGGCGCUAGGUGUGGGGGACAUUCCACGUCCUCCGUGCCGCAGCUAACGCAUUAAGCGCCCCGCCUGGGGAGUACGGCCGCAAGGCUAAAACUCAAAGGAAUUGACGGGGGCCCGCACAAGCGGCGGAGCAUGCGGAUUAAUUCGAUGCAACGCGAAGAACCUUACCUGGGUUUGACAUAUGCGGAAAGCCUGCAGAGAUGUAGGGUCCUUACGGGCCGCAUACAGGUGGUGCAUGGCUGUCGCCAGCUCGUGUCGUGAGAUGUUGGGUUAAGUCCCGCAACGAGCGCAACCCUCGUCCUAUGUUGCCAGCGGGUAAUGCCGGGGACUCAUAGGAGACUGCCGGGGUCAACUCGGAGGAAGGUGGGGAUGACGUCAAGUCAUCAUGCCCCUUAUGUCCAGGGCUUCACGCAUGCUACAAUGGCCGGUACAAUGGGCUGCGAAACCGCAAGGUAGAGCGAAUCCCAAAAAGCCGGUCUCAGUUCGGAUUGGGGUCUGCAACUCGACCCCAUGAAGUCGGAGUCGCUAGUAAUCGCAGAUCAGCAACGCUGCGGUGAAUACGUUCCCGGGCCUUGUACACACCGCCCGUCAAGUCACGAAAGUCGGCAACACCCGAAGCCGGUGGCCUAACCCUUACGGGGAGGAGCCGUCGAAGGUGGGGCUGGCGAUUGGGACUAAGUCGUAACAAGGUAGCC